CACGGAGUUAGCCGGUGCUUCUUCUGCGGGUAACGUCAAUCGACACGGCUAUUAACCGCAUCGCCUUCCUCCCCGCUGAAAGUACUUUACAACCCGAAGGCCUUCUUCAUACACGCGGCAUGGCUGCAUCAGGCUUGCGCCCAUUGUGCAAUAUUCCCCA
rnacentral:rRNA from 1 species